AAUGAACGCUGGCGGCAUGCCUUACACAUGCAAGUCGAACGGCAGCGCGGACUUCGGGCUGGCGGCGAGUUGCGAACGGGUGAGUAAUACAUCGGAACGUACCCUGUUGUGGGGGAUAACUAGUCGAAAGAUUAGCUAAUACCGCAUACGACCUGAUGGUGAAAGUGGUGGACCGGAAACGGCCUCAUGCAGCAGGAGCGGCCGAUGUCUGAUUAGCUAGUUGGUGGGGUAAAGGCCCACCAAGGCGACGAUCAGUAGCUGGUCUGAGAGGACGAUCAGCCACACUGGGACUGAGACACGGCCCAGACUCCUACGGGAGGCAGCAGUGGGGAAUUUUGGACAAUGGGGGAAACCCUGAUCGAGCAAUGCCGCGUGUGUGAAGAAGGCCUUCGGGUUGUAAAGCACUUUUGUCCGGAAAGAAAACGCGCUGGUUAAUACCUGGCGUGGAUGACGGUACCGGAAGAAUAAGCACCGGCUAACUACGUG
rnacentral:rRNA from 1 species